rnacentral:rRNA from 1 species
GGCCUACGGGACGCAGCAGUGGGGAAUAUUGCACAAUGGGGGAAACCCUGAUGCAGCGACGCCGCGUGAGUGAAGAAGUAUUUCGGUAUGUAAAGCUCUAUCAGCAGGAACGAGACAAGACGGUACCUGACUAAGAAGCCCCGGCUAACUACGUGCCAGCAGCCGCGGUAAUACGGAAGGUCCGGGCGUUAUCCGGAUUUAUUGGGUUUAAAGGGAGCGUAGGCCGGCUUUUAAGUCAGCUGUGAAAGUCCGCGGCUCAACCGUGGAAUUGCAGUUGAAACUGGAGGCCUUGAGUGCACACAGGG